AGCCCCGAGAGCCGCUCUAGGUGCGGGUCACCUGCCUGGGCGCCUCUGAAUAUUCCAUGGAGCCCAUCAAACACGUGUCCUUAAAUCAUAAACGUGAGAAUGCUAGUUGCAGUAUUUCUUUGUGGACAAACCGCCUCACAGUGUGCUCUGGGGAGCUCUCUCCGCUUCCAGUUCAUACUCCGAUCUUCAGUCUCAGCUGGUGAACUGACUUUGUACUUUGGUGACUGGGAACUUUGGUUUCCAAUUUAAUUUAACUGAAAUUUGCUGCUGACGUGUUGAGUUUGUUCUUUAAACAAAAAUCUCAAUGUCUGUCUCUCCUCCUGUUUUAGGAGAACAGACCUACUAGUGAAUGUAUUAACGAAAUGCAUCUAUUGCAGAGCUGACUUUAAAAGUUUGAGUUCAGUUUUUUCCUUUAUGAGCUGUGAAUAUGAGUAUGCCAGCAGUGUGCGCUAUAACUGUCACAGUAUUUAAAUAGAUUUCACUGUCUCUGCAAGUCCAGGCCUCUUCGAAGUCUGUAAAAACUUGUUUUGAAAUAUAGUCUCUACCUAUGGACAUAACAACAAAAUGCCUUUUUGCAAGAUAAAACAUGUAUUGCUUUGAUUACAAAAGGGGCACCCUUCCCUGGUUUCAGCAAUGAGAGGAAAUGUACUGAUUAUUGUGAUAUUUCUAUUAAACGUGCUGCACUGUUAGGCCUGCUCAUCUUCUAGUAGCCAAGGUCUCCUGGGCAUUUUGAGUUGCUUUAUGAAAUGAAUCUUGGGUUCCUUCUCUGCUGUCUUUACCAGUUGGGACCUCGGACCCUGGGUGCUUGGAGGAACGCAGGUCGCCCUUCGGGUCCGUGGUGCCUGCCGCAUCUGACACCCACCUUCCAGCUGAAACUCAGGCCACCUUGGCCUUUCCGUGGGCACCUCUCAAGUUCCGGCCUCUGUGGUGUGAGGCUUUCUUGUACAGCGAACUCUGCUUAUGCUCCAGUCAGCGUAAGUGGAGAAUUACAUUCCUUUAGGCAGAAGUGGCCUACUCACUAGCAGUGCCGCGUCCUUUACCCAUUAGCCAGUGAUGAGUCUAAGAGUUCCCAUGAAGAUACAACAACGCUGCUGUUUGGUAAGCAGAGCACACAAAGACGCUCACGUGUGAUUAAAUAGGAACGCCGUGGUGGCACUCGGUGCAAGACUGUUGUGUUUUGAUUUGGUGUCUGAAAAUCAACUGUGGCUUCGGCAUAAGCCCAGGAGAACAACCUGUUACAGUUUUGCGGUGUCUUUGGGCUGAUUUUCACCCAUGAGUGUUAAAAAGCGUUUGGUUGUUUAUGUAUUUGGUUAUAUAGAGAAGGGAAAUGUUUUUCACCUGCAUUCAAAAUGUGAUUACAUGGGAAAAGAAUCAAGUUCUGACAUUCAAGUUGUUACCGUUUAAAACAAUAGAAAGGCUCCUGUGAGUCGAACGCCGAAUAUGGUGAGGAAACGGGAUUUCAGGUUCAGGAAUGCAGGUGACCACCUGGUUUCCUUGGGGGAUGGGCCCACCCCCACCCCCACCCCCACCCACCUCUCCAGAGUCUGCCCUCGCCCCUCCUCUCUGAGGACGGUCACCGCCCCUUCCCCACACACCCCAUACAGAUGCAGGGAGGCCCAGCCUAGUCACCUGGACCAGGUGCAGGGCCCUACCCAAGCCAGACCACCUAGAUUCUCUCAGGGUGAGGACUUGGGACCGAGAGUCAAGUCAGCAUGUCUGUGCGCCCGGAAUCGGGACGUGUAAACGCAGGGGCUCCGGGUGCCCAGAAGGAGCGGGGAAAGCCCCACGCAAAUAGGCCAGUAAGCUGGCGCGCAGGCAUCACAGAGACCCAGGGCAAGGGUUCAGGGCCUUCGAUUAAUAGCAUGGAACGAGCUCGAGCUGUUAAAGUUCAAACAGAAAAGAAAGUUGAACAGAAAGAAGCAGACAUCCUAAUAUAGGAAGCUCAGGAUUUAAUGGUCUCUGGUCUCUGAAAAUAGAAGAAAUAGAAAUUUUCAAAGAAAUAUUGCAAGAAAGCUUUGCACAACUAAAAGAGAAGUUCAAAGUAAAGGGCUGAUCAGAGAUCCGGUAGAGACCGUCCCGACUUGCGACGGGUCGGCUUCAGAGUUUCUGACUUGUUGAUGGUGCAAAGGCGAUACCUAUGCAGUAGAAACCGUACUUGGAAUUUUGAAUUUGGCUCUUUUCCCCCAGGCUGGCGAUACGUGGUCUAGCCCCUGCCGUGCUGCUGGGCAGCGGGGCCGUGGCUCCAAGUCACCCCGCGACCAGAGGGUGAACAGUCGGUACACUGACAGCCAUUCUGCUUUCAUUUUCAGUAGAGAAUUCAACAAGUUACAUGAGAUAGUAAACACUCUGUUAUAAAACAGGCUUCGCGUUAGAUGAUUUUGCCCAACUGCAGGCUAUCGUAAGUGUUCUGAGCACGUUUAAGGCGGGCUGGGCUACAACGCUUGUGGGGUCAGGUGUACUAAACACAUUUUCCACUUUCAGUGGGUUUAGUGGAACACAGCCCCAUGGUAAGUGGAGGAAGAUCUGUACAUGACUGAAACAGGGAUAUCGAUGUAAAUUUUUAGGAAAAAACGAGGCUCCUAAAAGGUUUCCAGAGAGAAAAAAAACAAGUCACAUACGCAGGACACAGGAGGGAAAGGGGAGCUGCAUCGGACCUCUCGACAGCAGCACUGCACACCUCAAGGCACUGGAGAAAUUCCUUCAGAAUUCUGAGGAAACAUGAAUUCCAGCCUGGAAUUCUGUAAACACAAGCUCUCAGUUAAAUGGAAAGAGAAAGACAUUUUCAUAUCCUUGGGAACUG
ensembl:lncRNA